UUUUCCUGUAAUUUGAACACCCAUUUACCAAUUUGCACCUUUUUAUAUUGUUACAUAUCUUUUUUACUUGUUACUUGCAUUGGACUCAAACACUUCAGCUUUUACCACUUUCACAUUUGCUUCCCGGCCAUCCACUUUUCAACUGAAGAACCUGAGAACAGGAUGAGACGGCAUCAGCCACCGUGAGAAAGAUUCUGUCUUCGCCGAUCAAGGUUGCAACGUGGGAUGCGUGAAUCUUAUCAAUCACCACCGGUCCGGGGUUUGCGAGAACAAGCUGCACAACAAGAUUGGAGGUAAGACAACUUGAACAAGUUCAUAUCACAUAGAAUGUCAAAUGUAAUUUUUGUUCACUUUAGUAGAAAAUGACAGGAUGAUUUCGCGUGCA